rnacentral:rRNA from 1 species
GUGGGGAAUCUUGCGCAAUGGGCGAAAGCCUGACGCAGCCAUGCCGCGUGAAUGAUGAAGGUCUUAGGAUUGUAAAAUUCUUUCACCGGGGACGAUAAUGACGGUACCCGGAGAAGAAGCCCCGGCUAACUUCGUGCCAGCAGCCGCGGUAAUACAGAGGUCUCAAGCGUUGUUCGGAAUCACUGGGCGUAAAGGGUGCGUAGGUGGCGUGGUAAGUCAGAUGUGAAAGCCCGGGGCUCAACCUCGGAACUGCAUCCGAUACUGCCAUGCUUGAGGGUUGGAGAGGUAGCUGGAAUUCUCGGUGUAGCAGUGAAAUGCGUGGAUAUCGAGAGGAACACUCGUGGCGAAGGCGAGCUACUGGACAACAUCUGACGCUGAGGCUCGAAGGCCAGGGGAGCAAAAGGGAUUAGAUACCCUGGUAGUCC